rnacentral:lncRNA from 1 species
CAUGGGAGAUGCUUAAGUCACUGAGGAUGCACCCUCAGGAGGGGUCUCACUCCUUCUCCACUUUCUAACUCAACAAGUAACCAACCGUUGGUUCCUAUGUGUGUUCCCAGAACUGCCGUCUGCCAUCCGUCUUGAUCAUCAUUAGACCUGGGUAUCUGUAGGCAUCAUGCACUGGAUCCUCUACAACUGUGAGAUAAGCAGGCAGCUUCUACUGAUCUUCAGCAAUCUCAGAAAAGCAACUCCACGAGUACGUCUUAGUCAAAUGGGAUACACACUGCAAAACAGAAAAAUAAAGAAUGUGACCUGAACCUGGAAGUGAAUGAGUAAGAUCAAUUCUUUUAAAAAUAUAAUUUUCUUUAAUAUUUUGAAGGGAUCUUUGCAUAUUUUAUAAGUUUCAAGGGAGCAAUUAGAUAACUCAGAGA